rnacentral:rRNA from 1 species
ACGAACGCUGGCGGCGUGCCUAACACAUGCAAGUCGAACGAGACCUUCGGGUCUAGUGGCGCACGGGUGCGUAACGCGUGGGAAUCUGCCCUUAGGUUCGGAAUAACUCAGGGAAACUUGAGCUAAUACCGGAUAAUGACGUAAGUCCAAAGAUUUAUCGCCUAGGGAUGAGCCCGCGUAGGAUUAGCUAGUUGGUGGGGUAAAAGCCUACCAAGGCGACGAUCCUUAGCUGGUCUGAGAGGACGAUCAGCCACACUGGGACUGAGACACGGCCCAGACUCCUACGGGAGGCAGCAGUGGGGAAUAUUGGACAAUGGGCGAAAGCCUGAUCCAGCAAUGCCGCGUGAGUGAUGAAGGCCUUAGGGUUGUAAAGCUCUUUUACCCGGGAUGAUAAUGACAGUACCGGGAGAAUAAGCUCCGGCUAACUCCGUGCCAGCCGCCGCCGUAAG